ACUCAAAUGAAUUGACGGGAACCCGCACAAGCGGUGGAGCAUGUGGUUCAAUUCGACGCUAAGCGAAGAACCUCACCAAGGCUUGACAUGCUAGGAGUAUACCGAAGGAAACUUUGGUGGACCGUUAAAUCGGAGCCUAGCACAGGUGCUGCAUGGCUGUCGUCAGCUCGUGUCGUGAGAUGUUGGGUUAAGUCCUCCAACGAGCGCAACCCUCAUGUUGUGUUAACAAGUUCACAACAAACCGCCCCGGUUAACGGGGAGGAAGGUGGGGAUGACGUCAAGUCAGCAUGGCCCUUAUGCCUUGGGCUACACACGUGCUACAAUGGGGUGCAACAAUGGGGCGCCAAGUCGCGAGACGGAGCCAAUCCCACCAAACCACCCCUCAGUUCGGAUUGUAGGCUGCAACUCGCCUGCAUGAAGCUGGAAUCGCUAGUAAACGCGCGUCAGCCAUAGUGCGUUGAAUACGUUCUCGGGUUUUGUACACACCGCCCGU
rnacentral:rRNA from 1 species